AGAGUUUGAUUCUGGCUCAGGAUGAACGCUAGCUACAGGCUUAACACAUGCAAGUCGAGGGGCAGCAUUGGAGUAGCAAUACUUCAGAUGGCGACCGGCGCACGGGUGAGUAACACGUAUCCAACCUGCCGCUUACUCGGGGAUAGCCUUUCGAAAGAAAGAUUAAUACCCGAUGGUAUAAAGAGUUCGCAUGUUCUCUUUAUUAAAGAAUUUCGGUAAGCGAUGGGGAUGCGUUCCAUUAGAUAGUUGGCGGGGUAACGGCCCACCAAGUCUACGAUGGAUAGGGGUUCUGAGAGGAAGGUCCCCCACAUUGGAACUGAGACACGGUCCAAACUCCUACGGGAGGCAGCAGUGAGGAAUAUUGGUCAAUGGACGAGAGUCUGAACCAGCCAAGUAGCGUGAAGGAUGACUGCCCUAUGGGUUGUAAACUUCUUUUAUAAGGGAAUAAAGUGAGGGACGUGUCCCUUUUUGUAUGUACCUUAUGAAUAAGGAUCGGCUAACUCCGUGCCAGCAGCCGC
rnacentral:rRNA from 1 species